CCAUUGCCUCUCAGGCUGGCCCAGCCCUCACUGCUUCUCAGGCUGAUCCUCCUUGGGCUCAGUAUUAUUCCUAUCUCCCGGCCCAGCCCGGAAUCGGGAAGAAGGCCCCACCUUCAGCCUUGUAGACCCAUCCACACACGCACGAAGGGAAUCAGGGGCCGUUACGCAUGAGAUAGGUACCGGAUAUCCUCGUACAAUCGUAUCAAUAUGGCAGAGACAGGUGGUCCAAUGAUAGCCGGGCCGUUGCACGUCACUGGCAUAGGAGGAAAAGAGAUAAAAGGAGAAUGAUCCUCCCCUAAGCUCUAAGUUUUUCCAUUAUUCCAAAAACCUCUGUAAAACCCUAUUUCUCUGGAUCUCAGAUCAUCAAUUGGCGCCGUCUGUGGGAAACGAAUGAGAUCUUUUCAUCACCGGAGUUCCACUCUUAACAAAACCCACUGAGAUCCACGAUAGCUAAUCACAAUGAAAGCAACCUUAACAUCCCAAAUGACCUGAGCUCUGUCCAAGAGGGGCAAUAGUUCUCCUUUUCUAGCCCGUGAGGAUGGAUAAACCCCCACGGGGGGAAAAGUAAUAAAAAUUGUUACUUGCUCUGACUAGACGAAAAAAGGUCACGAAUAGAUGAACCGUGGGCGUAAAUCUCCAGCUCAAGCAAAUGGAUUCAAAGCAACACAUGAACAAAAUAGAGUUUGGGGAUAGCAUUCGGGGAGUUAUCCUGAAAUAUUGGAAAACCUCGGUAAAGAAGGAGGUAAACGGAAAAGUUAGACCAAAGUCCCGUUGUUUAACAAAAAAGACUAUGCUACGAUCCUUCUGGGGAUCUACCAAACCGGGAGGAGGAGGAUCUGGAAGAACAAUCCUCUCGUUCCGGAGAGGAGCUCGGAUACGGUAAAGGGGAGUGUCCAAAUACCUCCGAGAAAAGAAGUUAGUUAUGGUGGAGGGAAUGAUACUGGACUUGGUGUUAAGAACUUUUGGAAGCUUAAAAAUUUCCAUGGAGAUAGAAGAGGCGUACCUGAAAAGCAGGUAGAGCAGAGGAGCAGAGGAAAUCGAAGAAGAGAAGAGAACAAGAGAAGGCAAGUGUUCCGAGAAGACAGAGAAAAUUCAAAAGGCAAAGCAGUGAUGAGACAAAGAGUGGCUCUGAACAGUUUUGUCCUGGGGCGGCGCGGUCAUUAUUACAGUCGAAGUUUACCCCCUCAUCAGUCGGGCAAUAACUGACGAGAAGGUAAAGGGGCAAUUGAUGACCGCUGGAUUUCUCCACCCCGGUCAGGGGCUAAGCCCUCGACCACGGCUCAUCGCUCGGAGGCCCACACGACCCCAAUACAAACAGGUCCAGCCCGUUCGAACCUUGAUACAGGGUCCAUAUGGAUUUCUCAACCAGGCCGACCCAGUCCCCAUUGCCUCUCAGGCCGGCCCAGCCCUCACUGCUUCUCAGGCUGAUCCUCCUUGGGCUCAGUAUUAUUCCUAUCUCCCGGCCCAGCCCGGAAUCGGGAAGAAGGCCCCACCUUCAGCUUGUAGACCCAUCCACACACGCACAAAGGGAAUCAGGGGCUGUUACGCAUGAGACAGGUACCGAAUAUCCUCGUACAAUCGUAUCAAUAUGGUAGAGACAGGUGGUCCAAUGAUAGCCGGGCCGUUGCACGUCACUGGCAUAAGAGGAAAAGAGAUAAAAGGAGAAUGAUCCUCCCCUAAACUCUAAGUUUUUCCAUUAUUCCAAAAACCUCUGUAAAACCCUAUUUCUCUGGAUCUCAGAUCAUCAA
rnacentral:lncRNA from 1 species